ensembl:lncRNA ABCC13 ATP binding cassette subfamily C member 13 (pseudogene)
GGCGGAGUGCGUGUCCUCCCACCGUGCUGGCGCUGAACUGACUGUCCGCUGCCAAGGGAAGUGACAGCCGCAGCCGGGCUCUCAGCCAGCGGCCAGGCGCCCCGCGGACCAUGCUCUCCAGUACGCAGAACGCGGGCGGCUCCUAUCAGCGGGUCCGCGGGGCGCUUGAUACACAGUCCAGAGAAAAGUGCCUCAUUUUUCAGUAAAGUGACAUAUUCCUGGUUUAGCAGAGUAAUUACUUUAGGCUAUAAGAGACCUUUGGAAAGAGAGGAUCUUUUUGAACUAAAGGAAAGUGAUUCCUUCUGCACUGCGUGUCCCAUCUUUGAAAAACAAUGGAGAAAGGAAGUUUUAAGGAAUCAAGAGAGGCAAAAAGUAAAGGUAUCUUGUUAUAAAGAGGCACAUAUCAAGAAACCAUCUCUACUCUAUGCAUUGUGGAACACCUUUAAAUCCAUCCUGAUUCAAGUUGCCUUAUUCAAAGUGUUUGCUGAUAUUUUGUCCUUCACUAGCCCACUCAUAAUGAAGCAAAUUAUCAUUUUCUGUGAACACAGCUCAGAUUUUGGCUGGAAUGGCUAUGGCUAUGCAGUGGCACUUCUUGUUGUAGUCUUUUUGCAAACUCUGAUUCUUCAGCAAUAUCAACGUUUUAACAUGCUCACCUCAGCAAAAGUUAAGACAGCUGUAAAUGGACUGAUCUACAAAAAGGCCUUACUUUUAUCAAAUGUUUCUCGACAAAAGUUUUCCACUGGGGAAAUUAUUAACUUGAUGUCAGCAACUCAUGGACUUGACAGCAAACCUCAAUCUCCUCUGGUCUGCCCCUUUUCAAAUCCUAAUGGCCGUAUAUCUCCUUUGGCAAGAGCUGGGUCCAGCAGUGUUAGCAGGGGUGGCAGUCCUUGUGUUUGUUAUACCAAUAAAUGCUUUAGCUGCAACUAAAAUAAAAAAGUUAAAGGUAAGAAAA